rnacentral:rRNA from 1 species
UGGGGAAUUUUGCACAAUGGGGGAAACCCUGAUGCAGCGACGCCGCGUGAUUUAGAAGGCCUUCGGGUUGUAAAAAUCUUUUCUAUGGGAAGAAAAUGACAGUACCAUAGGAAUAAGGACCGGCUAAUUACGUGCCAGCAGCCGCGGUAAUACGUAAGGUCCGAGCGUUGUCCGGAAUCAUUGGGCGUAAAGGGUACGUAGGCGGGUAAGCAAGUUAGAAGUGAAAUCCUAUAGCUCAACUAUAGUAAGCUUUUAAAACUGCUCAUCUGGAGGUAUGGAAGGGAAAGUGGAAUUCCUGGUGUAGCGGUGAAAUGCGCAGAUAUUAGGAGGAAUACCGGUGGCGAAGGCGACUUUCUGGACAUAACCUGACGCUGAGGUACGAAAGCGUGGGUAGCAAGCAGG